GAUACAGAGCUGCAGGGGACAGGCUGCACACCUCCACCUCUCAGCCAUGGACGGCGUUAGGCCUAUUUUAGGGGGGCUGAAGCCACAACGCUGCUACUCACAGUGAGAGACACACACACACAGCAACACACAGACGUGGUUAAGGAAGAUUGAUUCAAUUUGCCGUCACUUUCAUGCUGCUGCUUCUUCAAAUCCAUUCCACUCAGCUCAUUUAGAGUCCAUAGAGCUGACAGGGCUGUGAAUGGGCUGGAGGCCCUGUGGCCUCGGAGCAAUCACCAUGGCCAUUUCACACCCUGCUGAUCCCCUCAUCUGCUGCAGAGACGAGAGAGGGGCUCCGAGGGCCCCGGAGGCCCCUGAUGAAGUCCUGACCUCACUCUCCAGAACCCACGGGAUUAAAAAAAUAGUCAUCCUGCUCAAAGUGAAGACGGCUGCUCAAGUUAGUCGACAGACAAAUUGGAAAGUUUUAUUUCAAGAUGAGAACUGCGACUUUAUGAGAACAGAGACUCUGAAGUCACUGGACUUUACAGAAUGAGCUGAAACUUAUAAUGAUAUCACAUUUAAAUACUACAUGUUUUAUGUCAUAGAAACGC